UAACACAGUCAGUAGAUGACAAAACCGGGUUUAGACCCUGGGGAGUGAGGCUCCGGGCACCGUGCCCUUCAUUGCUGCACCAUGCUGCCUCGACAGUGAGGGAGCCCUUGAAGGGCGCCCGUCUAGCAGGAGGAAGAGAAAAGGAAAAGCGUAAUCUGGAUGUGACGGGGUGAGUACAGGGCGGAGGUGUGUGCAGCAGCCGGGUACAGUGGGUCCCAGAAAGGCUGCCCCGAGGGGCUGACCCAUGAGGGAGUCUUGCAAGGCAGGCAGGGGAAGAAGGGGCUAGAGAUCACACCAGAUAAAGAACAAGAGCCAAGGGUGAGGACGGGGUGUUAGAGACGAGGCUGGGAAGGGGAUUGGGUCACGGAGCCCUUGAAAGCCAGGCUCAAAGGCUGGGUUUAGUCCUGCAGGAGAUGGGAGCCAUGCAGGGGCAUUCUCAGGGGAGGGACGCGGCUGGACAAGCACCUUAUCUUACCGGGAAGGAAGAGUAGGACACAGAGGUCAACACCAUGGGCAAGACGAGCUAAGAGAAGACCGCUGCCUGACAUGAGCUUCUUGUUCCCUCUCCACGAGCAUCCACGGCACAGCCCCCGAAUUGUAUGGAAGCUGAAGGCGUGUUCCUUUGAAAACAACAAAGAACCUCCGUAGAGAGCAAUGCCUAGAAAGAGCACAUGCAAAGCUUCCGUAUUAUGGAGCUGGUGGCAGAGAACCGCCCUGAUAACCUCUCCACACCGAGCAUUUUAUUUUUCCUAGAUGUCUGAAAAAUUCGUGAAUUUAACGCCAAGGCAGUUACAGGGGUCCGACGCAGGUCAGGCGGUCCCAAUCACCCCUCUAACUUCAGGACCGCCUGCUCGUUAAGAACUUGUAAAGAAGCACAGGUACCAGCCGGUAGGAGAUGGAAUUCACUUACUGGCCUUCGUAAAUUGAAUCCAGACAGCUGAAGGCGAAAGACUUCGUAUUCCGCUAGACUUUGAAACUCCGUUAUCCUCUGAGCCAUUCUGACCUAGAAGAAAGCAGCAAGUGGGUUGGUUAAAUUACCCAGAUGCGAAUGAUCAGUUCACACCGCAUUAAACAAAAAGCUCACAUUUCAUGGACAAGUACAAUUCGAAACAAACGACGGUGCUGAUUCAUGCAAGAGCUUGGUGUCGGAGGCUUAAUUUAUACAGAUAACAACCUGCCUCUUUGGCUCUCAGCUCAGUAAGACACCAGUUAGUGCUGCUACAUGAGAGCAGCAAGAAAACUGUUAACAGACAGAAGAGGUUUCAGGCAUCGUAUUUGAUUCAGACUUUGCCACCGAGAUGUGUGUUUUCAUCGGAAUGUUAUCUCCUCGAUGGUUAAUACAUUCCAGCAAAUGUAACAUGAAGGACUCCCAAGUUCAUGGUUGAGGUCACAGAAUUUUGAGGAUGUGUGAGAUUCUCCUUUCUGUGGAUGAACAAAUGGUAUCUCCCGAGCCCCACCACCAGUUUCUGGUGGAAUCAAAAGUCACCACCUUUCUGUGACAUCAGACUUAAUUUAGGUGUUGUGGCUCUGAAAUGUUGAGCCCUCAUGGAGACUUUCAAUUCACAAAACACUCUAUAGUUCAUGUUAAGUUUAAACUUACUAUAUACUCUUUUAAAACGUGGAAGUCAUUUUCAUUCUAGAAGUUCUAAUGAGCUCAUGUCUCUACUUUUCAUGGAGAAAUGAGUCCCAGGCCAGGGUACGACCAAAAGGACUCUCCCCCAAGACCUUCCCGUACUUUUAGACUGUUCUGGAAGAGCAAUUUGGCCCUGACUCUAUGGCAACUCAGAAAAUUAUAAAGCCCUUGGGCUGACUGAGACCUUAGGCUAAUGGAGUUCAAACCCUCAUUACACUUAAAGAACAAAAUAAAACAAAAACCAAAAACUGCAGUGCAAUCAGAUGGUGAAUUGGAGGGAGAGCUAGUCUAGAAAACCACAAAGAAACGUAUGUUCAUUGAGCAUCUGUUGGUGCAAAGCCCUGUGUUCUCGCCCUAAAUACAUGAUCUCACUCAGUUCUUACAAAUGCCCUGCAAGGUAGAUAAGCAUGGGCAGAAACACUCAGGCUGAGUUCUUCCCUCAACAAGUAUUUACCUGAGCAUGUGCUAGUGAAGGGCACCAAAGUAUACAAAGUUUACAAGAAGAAAUAGACACUUUUUCUUUCCUGUGCCCAAUGAGGUCCCAGUGUCUCAGAAAUGGGGGAGAGGGAGUCAGAUGCAUUAAUUAACACAGUGUUGUUCAAACCCCAGCUCAUGACUCCUUAGACAACCAUGAAAAUUAAUUUAACGAAUCUUGAUGAGCAUUAAAAAUAAAUGAAUAAACAAAUAAAUAGAACAGAACGGAAAAUAUCAGCAUGCAUGAAGUGAAGGUGAGGAAACUCACAUGGAUAGAUGUCUGCAGACCUGUAUCAAUCAUACACAUGUCUUUGUGUACUGGUUUGCGAUGUCUAAUAUAUUUUCUUUCGUGGGUCGUGGUGAAAAAAAGCGUGAAAGCUCUCGAGUUAUCGAACAAAGUGACAAGUUCACAGGAAAUGGUGAGGGCAGAGGAGAGUCAGCGAGUUGUCUGCUGCGGAUUAGCACCUGUCCCCAGAAGGAGCUGGGGACAAUCUUGGUUUCUCUCCAAGCAGAAGUCUUAUAAGGGUGGGAUGCCCCAACUUAAUGCUCAGCACUAGGACAAGCUUGGCAAGGACUGGUAUGAAGUUUCAGGGACCAGAGAGGAAAACUAAGCAGGGGUCCCUUCUCCCACAAUGUGGGGAAGAGGGUGGGCACCUCUGAAGCGGAGAGAAGGCACAAUGUUACUAGUUCUGUGUUUGCAUGAUGAUGAAGCCAGGCUUGGGAAGAGGGAAUUAAACCUCAAGAACACGGACCCACAUCAAGCCCUGAUUGCGAGACGUGUGGGAGCUUCUGGAAGGUCCACAAGCGCCAGCGAGAUCUGGAAUGAAUUCCCACCAUCCCACUGUCCAGAGAGGACAGAAGAGCCUCUAGAAUCUGUGAGCUCAGGAGAUCGGAAUCCAGAGGAGGGGGUCCUUGUAGGUGACCUUACUCUCAAGGUCAGUGCCCCCUUUGGGAUGGCAGGUUACCUCUGGUAUCAGGAUAUGACAGUUAUUAAAGUUUUUCUCCUUUUAAUAAAGCUUCCUUCAGA